GGCAGGUCUGAUGGUAGUGGGUUAUCAGAACUUAUUAUUAAUAACAUUAUUGUCAUUAAAAUUGGUAUACAAUCCCCUACUAAAUUUGACUGGCUUUUA
rnacentral:Y_RNA from 1 species